UGAACUGUGACUUUUGAGCUGACUCUAGGGUGCACCCAACCUUCCAGAGGUGUCUGGCUUAACCCUCAAAGAGGCAGCUCCAGCCCCAGGAGCCGACCGGCACCACAGCACCUGAGCAGGGCACUGCAGGAAGAAAAGCGGAAUCUCUAGUGAAACUUCUCAUUUCCUGUCGCUGCUGAGAGAGGCUGGACUCGCUCCUUCUCACAUGGUUUAGGAAGAGCUGUAAACGGGAGCUUGCCGGCUGGCCACCAGCUCAGGGGCCCUGGGGGCGGCCUCCGGGUUCUGCUCCCUGUUCUUCCCUUUGACCAAUGUCACUCCUGGACAGAUAACGGGACCAAACGCCCUUCACUUCCUCGAGUCCUUAUAAGCCUUUACGAAAUCCUCACACCAUCUCCGGACGCAAAGCUUUCGCAUUCAGCUUGAGGAGCUAAACCAUUUCAAGCCAAGCCUCUCUCCUUGAAGACAAAGUGCUGAUAUCAACUCCACCUUCAAGUCUCCCAAGCAGAACUAGAUGCUGUAUCUUCAAUGUUUCCACAUCUUCUUGUUCAUAUGUGUCUAAGUGCUUCAAGGGAAAUCUGUCUCCCCAGACACUUGCGUACUACACUGUAAGCCAUUUUUACUAUGAAGAAGAUUGUAAGCUCAAUUACGGGCUUUACUGCGCUGAUAACGAACACAGAUAUGAGACAAGCAAACUUGAGCUCCCGCCUCGAGGAUGGUGAGCAAAGAGCCUAAGCAAAACUGAGAGGAAAUGAAACACAAAGAGGAAACAGAAAGGUGAGAAAAUAGAGGGUGGGAGGGCAGGCAGGUGAUUCAUCCAUUUAAAAGAACAGCCACAGGAGAGCAUCUUCU
rnacentral:lncRNA from 1 species